ACCCUCUGACAUUAGACAAAGAGACACCUUGUUGGUGUUUUUCUUAUAUUGAUCAGAGACAAAGCAGAUGACAGUCCUUUGCUCAUCCUAGCUUCAUGCAUGGCUUGGUGGCCAAAGCUGUCUUAUGCCUAGGACUGAUAA